UACGUAGGGGCCUAGCGUUGUCCGGAAUUAUUGGGCGUAAAGAGCUCGUAGGCGGUUCGGCAAGUCGGAUGUGAAAUCUCCACGCUUAACGUGGAGGGGCCAUUCGAAACUGCUGUGACUCGAGUCCGGUAGGGGAGUGUGGAAUUCCCGGUGUAGCGGUGAAAUGCGCAGAUAUCAGGAGGAACACCGGUGGCGAAGGCGGGUCUCUGGGCCGAUACUGACGCUGAGGAGCGAAAGCGUGGGGAGCAAACGGG
rnacentral:rRNA from 1 species